CGGGAAACUGGGGAUAAUAUCGGAUAGGUAAAAGACACUGGAAUGUUCUUUUAUCUAAAGCUUUUGCGCCUGAGGAUGGGCCUGCGCCCGAUUAGGUUGUUGGUGGGGUAAUGGCCCACCAAGCCUGCGAUCGGUACGGGCAGUGGGAGCUGUAGCCCGGAGUUGGGGACUUAGACAAGGCCCCAGGCCCUACGGGGCGCAGCAGGCGCGAAACCUCUGCAAUGCGGGAAACCGUGACAGGGGGAUCCCAAGUGCUCAUGCAUUGCAUGGGCUGUUCUUUGGUCUAAGUAACCAGAGGAGUAAGGGCUGGGCAAGACCGGUGCCAGCCGCCGCGGUAACA
rnacentral:rRNA from 1 species